CAGCCGCCGCGGUAAUACAGAGGGUGCGAGCGUUAAUCGGAUUUACUGGGCGUAAAGCGUGCGUAGGCGGCUAAUUGAGUCGGAUGUGAAAUCCCCGAGCUUAACUUGGGAAUUGCAUUCGAUACUGGUUAGCUAGAGUGUGGGAGAGGAUGGUAGAAUUCCAGGUGUAGCGGUGAAAUGCGUAGAGAUCUGGAGGAAUACCGAUGGCGAAGGCAGCCAUCUGGCCUAACACUGACGCUGAGGUACGAAAGCAUGGGGAGCAAACAGGAUUAGAUACCCCUGUAGUCCCUGUCUCUUAUAC
rnacentral:rRNA from 1 species